rnacentral:lncRNA from 1 species
UGCUGACAGGCUCAAAUCUCUCUACGACGAGAUCAAUUUACAGGGCCCCACCCCGUGCAUUCGCCAUGGAGCUUGACAUCACCGCCGACGGUGCUACCAUUAAGGCCCCCGUACAAAUAGCUUGGGACGCCUUCGGAGGUAUCGAUGCCUUGGUUAACAAUGCCGGAGUUAGAGGUUGUGUAUUAUAAGCUUCUAUAUUAGUACUUGUUGAUAGUAAUUACUCCUCCCGUCCCAUUGAUGUUGUUUGACAAUGAAGAAAAGACUUUUAAAAUUUAAGGUCCAAAAUAAGUUAUAGAUAUUUUUUUAGUUAUAAAUCAUCUUACUAAAGAUAAAAUGAGAAGUUUAAAUUAAAGUUACUCCUAAAUAAUUUCUAAAUAUUGGAAGAUACCAUUCUAAUAUUUAUUCUUACCUGCAAGCAUAAGUAAGAUCAAUCCUAGUUGGUCAGUCCCCCAUGAUAUGGCUUCUUGCUUUUUAUUGGUACAGAUCGAAAAAGAAAGUGUAUCAUAUAAAUUUGGACAAAUUAAAUUACAUAAUUUAAAAAUUUUCUUGGCUAUUAUUUAUUUUGUCAUAUAUAUGCCUUAUAUAUGCAUAGGUAGUGUGAGCUCUUCGGUGGAUUUUUCGGAGGAUGAGCGGAACCAUACCUUUAAUACAAACCUAAGAGGGGCAUGGUUGGUUUCCAAAUAUGUUUGUAGGCGAAUGCGCGAUGCUAAACAAGGCGGAGGAUCUGUAAUUAGUACUUCUUCAGCUGCUGCUUUGAAUCGGGUAGUGUAUCCGGGGAGUCUUGC